rnacentral:rRNA from 1 species
GACGAACGCUGGCGGCGUGCUUAACACAUGCAAGUCGAACGGAAAGGCCCUGCUUUUGUGGGGUGCUCGAGUGGCGAACGGGUGAGUAACACGUGAGUAACCUGCCCUUGACUUUGGUAUAACUUCAGGAAACUGGGGCUAAUACCGGAUAGGAGCUCCUGCUGCAUGGUGGGGGUUGGAAAGUUUCGGCGGUUGUGGAUGGACUCGCGGCUUAUCAGCUUGUUGGUGGGGUAGUGGCUUACCAAGGCUUUGACGGGUAGCCGGCCUGAGGGGUUGACCGGCCAAAGGGGGACUGAGAUACGGCCCAGACUCCUACGGGAGGCAGCAGUGGGGAAUAUUGCAAAAUGGGCGGAAGCCUGAUGCAGAAACGCCGCGUGCGGGAUGACGGCCUUCGGGUUGUAAACCGCUUUCGCAUGUGACGAAGCGUGAGUGACGGUAAUGGGUAAAGAAGCACCGGCUAACUACGUG